rnacentral:misc_RNA from 1 species
GACUUGAUAAAACCCCACAUAAAUUUUGAAGUGAUGGCAGCUCUUUUAAGUAUUUAAUCUUUUUCUCUCAUCAGAUAUUAAGAGCAGAACUGUGAACCUAUUUAGAUAUUAGACCCAUGGAUAACUGCCAAGUACUUCAAUUUCAGGUGAUGCCUCUUUGGAAAUGUACCCAUUUGGACACCAACGCCUAUCUACACAAAAUAGCAUACAUGAAAUUUCUAAGGUAAAAUUUUCUUACAAACACCUUUGCCCUCAAAUUUAAAAUCAAUAAGUUGUUUGACUUCACCAAUCUCUAUAUAGGAUGAAUUUACAACUUCAAUUUUAUGAAGUUGUUAUACUAACCUCAU